GCACUGGUGAUUCAGUGGUAAAAUGGUCGCCUGCCACGCCGGCGAUCUAGGUUCGAUUCCUGGCCAAUGCA
rnacentral:tRNA from 1 species